CAGCCGCCGCGGUAAUACGUAGGUGGCAAGCGUUGUCCGGAAUUAUUGGGCGUAAAGGGCUCGCAGGCGGUUUCUUAAGUCUGAUGUGAAAGCCCCCGGCUCAACCGGGGAGGGUCAUUGGAAACUGGGAGACUUGAGUGCAGAAGAGGAGAGUGGAAUUCCACGUGUAGCGGUGAAAUGCGUAGAGAUGUGGAGGAACACCAGUGGCGAAGGCGACUCUCUGGUCUGUAACUGACGCUGAGGAGCGAAAGCGUGGGGAGCGAACAGGAUUAGAUACCCGUGUAGUCCCUGUCUCUUAUAC
rnacentral:rRNA from 1 species